AUUGAACGCUGGCGGCAGGCUUAACACAUGCAAGUCGAACGGCAGCGCGGACUUCGGUCUGGCGGCGAGUGGCGAACGGGUGGGUAAUGCAUCGGAACGUGCCUAUUAGUGGGGGAGAACGCUUCGAAAGGAGUGCUAAUACCGCAUACGACCUGAGGGUGAAAGUGGGGGACCGUAAGGCCGCACGCCAAUAGAUCGGCCGAUGUCUGAUUAGCUAGUUGGUGAGGUAAAGGCUGACCAAGGCGACGAUCAGUAGCGGGUCGUAGAGGACGAUCCGCCACGCUGGGACUGAGACACGGCCCAGACUCCUACGGGAGGAAGCAGUGGGGAAUCUUGGACAAUGGGCGCAAGCCUGAUUCAGCAAUGCCGCGUGGGUGAAGAAGGCCUUCGGGUUGUAAAGCCCUUUUGUUUGGGAGCAAAUCCUACUGGUUAAUACCUGGUGGGGAUGAGAGUACCAAAAGAAUAAGCACCGGCUAACUACGUGCCAGCCGCCGCGGUAA
rnacentral:rRNA from 1 species